rnacentral:tRNA from 1 species
GGAUGGUUAGCUCAGUUGGUUAGAGCGACUGGUUUACAUCCAGUAGGCCGCAGGUUCGAAUCCUGCACCAUCCA